rnacentral:rRNA from 1 species
UACGUAGGGGGCAAGCGUUGUCCGGAAUUAUUGGGCGUAAAGAGCGCGUAGGCGGUCCGGUAAGUCGGUUGUGAAAGUCGGGGGCUCAACCCUCGGAUGCCGAUCGAUACUGUCGGGCUAGAGUCCGGAAGAGGCGAGUGGAAUUCCUGGUGUAGCGGUGAAAUGCGUAGAUAUCUGGAGGAACACCGGUGGCGAAGGCGGCAUCCUGGACCGAUACUGACGCUGAGGAGCGAAAGCCAGGGGAGCAAACGGG